rnacentral:rRNA from 1 species
CCGCGGUAAUACGUAGGGUGCGAGCGUUGUCCGGAAUUAUUGGGCGUAAAGAGCUUGUAGGCGGUUUGUCGCGUCUGCUGUGAAAAUCCGGGGCUCAACCCCGGACUUGCAGUGGGUACGGGCAGACUAGAGUGUGGUAGGGGAGACUGGAAUUCCUGGUGUAGCGGUGAAAUGCGCAGAUAUCAGGAGGAACACCGAUGGCGAAGGCAGGUCUCUGGGCCACUACUGACGCUGAGGCACGAAAGCGUGGGGAGCAAACAGG